CCUACGGGAGGCUGCAGUGGGGAAUAUUGCACAAUGGGCGCAAGCCUGAUGCAGCCAUGCCGCGUGUGUGAAGAAGGCCUUCGGGUUGUAAAGCACUUUCAGCGGGGAGGAAGGCGGUGAGGUUAAUAACCUCAUCGAUUGACGUUACCCGCAGAAGAAGCACCGGCUAACUCCGUGCCAGCAGCCGCGGUAAUACGGAGGGUGCAAGCGUUAAUCGGAAUUACUGGGCGUAAAGCGCACGCAGGCGGUCUGUCAAGUCGGAUGUGAAAUCCCCGGGCUCAACCUGGGAACUGCAUUCGAAACUGGCAGGCUAGAGUCUUGUAGAGGGGGGUAGAAUUCCAGGUGUAGCGGUGAAAUGCGUAGAGAUCUGGAGGAAUGCCGGUGGCGAAGGCGGCCCCCUGGACAAAGACUGACGCUCAGGUGCGAAAGCGUGGGGAGCAAACAGGAUUAGAUACCCGUGUAGUC
rnacentral:rRNA from 1 species